CUACGUGCCAGCAGCCGCGGUAAUACGGAGGGUGCAAGCGUUAAUCGGAAUUACUGGGCGUAAAGCGCACGCAGGCGGUCUGUCAAGUCGGAUGUGAAAUCCCCGGGCUCAACCUGGGAACUGCAUUCGAAACUGGCAGGCUGGAGUCUUGUAGAGGGGGGUAGAAUUCCAGGUGUAGCGGUGAAAUGCGUAGAGAUCUGGAGGAAUACCGGUGGCGAAGGCGGCCCCCUGGACAAAGACUGACGCUCAGGUGCGAAAGCGUGGGGAGCAAACAGGAUUAGACACCCUGGUAGUCCACGCUGUAAACGAUGUCGACUUGGAGGUUGUUCCCUUGAGGAGUGGCUUCCGGAGCUAACGCGUUAAGUCGACCGCCUGGGGAGUACGGCCGCAAGGUUAAAACUCAAAUGAAUUGACGGGGGCCCGCACAAGCGGUGGAGCAUGUGGUUUAAUUCGAUGCAACGCGAAGAACCUUACCUACUCUUGACAUCCAGA
rnacentral:rRNA from 1 species